rnacentral:rRNA from 1 species
CAGUCGCCGCGGUAAUACAGAGGAUGCAAGCGUUGUCCGGAAUUAUUGGGCGUAAAGGGCUCGUAGGCGGUUUGUUGCGUCGGGAGUGAAAACACCAGGCUUAACUUGGUGCUUGCUUUCGAUACGGGCAGACUUGAGGCAUGCAGGGGAGAACGGAAUUCCUGGUGUAGCGGUGAAAUGCGCAGAUAUCAGGAGGAACACCGGUGGUGAAAGCACUCUGCUGGGCCGACACUGACACUGAGAGACGAAAGCUAGGGGAGCAAAUGGGAUUAGAUACCCGUGUAGUCCCUGUCUCUUAUAC